GACCAAGCUACUAAGGGCAAAUGGUGGAUGCCUUGGCGUCGAAAGGCGAUGAAAGACGUGGAUAGCUGCGAUAAGCCUCGGGGAGCCGCUAAACAGGCUUUGAUCCGGGGAUUUCUGAAUGGGGGAACCCAUUCGCCGUAAUGGGCGAAUAUCCUUGACUGAAUACAUAGGUCAAGGAAGCGAACGAGGUGAAC
rnacentral:ncRNA from 1 species